rnacentral:rRNA from 1 species
GACGAACGCUGGCGGCGUGCUUAACACAUGCAAGUCGAACGGAAAGGCCCCUUUGGGGGUACUCGAGUGGCGAACGGGUGAGUAACACGUGAGUAACCUGCCCUUGACUUCGGGAUAACUUCAGGAAACUGGGGCUAAUACCGGAUAGGAAUCCUUGCUGCAUGGUGGGGGUUGGAAAGCUUCGGCGGUUUUGGAUGGACUCGCGGCUUAUCAGCUUGUUGGUGGGGUAGUGGCUUACCAAGGCUUUGACGGGUAGCCGGCCGGAGAGGGCGACCGGCCACAUUGGGACUGGGAUACGGCCCAGACUCCUACGGGAGGCAGCAGUGGGGAAUAUUGCACAAUGGGCGGAAGCCUGAUGCAGCAACGCCGCGUGCGGGAUGACGGCCUUCGGGUUGUAAACCGCUUUCAGCAGGGGCGAAGCUUGUGGUGACGGUACCUGCAGAAGAAGCACCGGCUAACUACGUG